UACGGAGGGUGCAAGCGUUAUCCGGAUUCACUGGGUUUAAAGGGUGCGUAGGCGGGCAGGUAAGUCCGUGGUGAAAUCUCUGAGCUUAACUCAGAAACUGCCAUGGAUACUAUUUGUCUUGAAUAUUGUGGAGGUGAGCGGAAUAUGUCAUGUAGCGGUGAAAUGCUUAGAUAUGACAUAGAACACCAAUUGCGAAGGCAGCUCACUACACAAUUAUUGACGCUGAGGCACGAAAGCGUGGGGAUCAAACAGG
rnacentral:rRNA from 1 species